CAGGGGUAAACGGAAAAGACCCGAAAUUUCCGAAAAGGGAGAUUCACGUCUUUCCGCGAGUUAACGCAUUUGCUUCUCUUCGACGACUCUGCUCCCGUCCGGACUCGUCCGGUGCGUGGUCGUGGGGUUGCAGAGAGUGGUGUGGAGGCUCGCGGCGGACCGCACUUCUCCCUUAGUAGGACGUCGUGACCCGCCCGGCCAUGGUCUUACGGUCACGGGGUGGAGCCUGUUCUUGACGUGCUUGCACUUCUCGAGCAGACCCCUGUGUCCCGGCCAUGGUAUAAACUGGACGGUAUCAAAUGACAGUGUUCGGCCUCUCUUCGGCGGAGGAAACUCCUGCCAGUGAGCGCGAUUCGACCCACGACAAGGUGUUGAGAUGUUUCAGUCGGGCUAUGCCCGUCUGGCUGCUCUCAGCCCUGUUGGUUAUGGGACCUCUCGUUUGGCCUAUGCGCACUCGUCUACGGCGAACCAGUUUUGGGUUCUUGUCCGACCCGUCUUGAAACACGGACCAAGGAGUUCAGCGUGUACGCGAGUCAUUGGGUGUUAAAACCUAAAGGCGUAAUGAAAGUGAAGGAAACUUCCGUUUCUGAGGGAGGAUGAGUUGGUUACCCGCAAGGGGCCUCUCCGCACUCCCGGGGCGUCUCUUUCUCAUUGCGAGUGGAGGCGCACCUAGAGCGUACACGCUGAUACCCGAAAGAUGGUGAACUAUGCCUGGCCAGGACGAAGCCAGGGGAAACCCUGGUGGAGGUCCGCAGCGAUUCUGACGUGCAAAUCGAUCGUCGGAGCUGGGUAUAGGGGCGAAAGACCAAUCGAACCAUCUAGUAGCUGGUUCCCUCCGAAGUUUCCCUCAGGAUAGCUUGCGCUCAUGUGAACGAGUCUCAUCCGGUAGAGCGAAUGAUUAGAGGCCUUGGGGUCGAAACGACCUCAACCUAUUCUCAAACUCCAAAUAGAUGAGAACUCCGGCUUCCUUGAAACAACUCGUUUUUGAAGCCGGGGGCUCGGAUCAGAGUGCCAAGUGGGCCAAUUUUGGUAAGCAGAACUGGCGCUGUGGGAUGAACCAAACGUCGAGUUAAGGCGCCUAAAUCGUCGCUCAUGUGAAACCAUGAAAGGCGUUGGUUGCUUAAGACAGCAGGACGGUGGCCAUGGAAGUCGGAAUCCGCUAAGGAGUGUGUAACAACUCACCUGCCGAAGCAACUAGCCCUGAAAAUGGAUGGCGCUGUAGCGACGUUGCCUAUACUCGACCGUCAACGGCAAAGAUGUCUAGGCGGGCAACCGCUUGGACGUUACGCCUUGACGAGUAGGAGGGCCGCGGCGACGUGCGCAGAAGGGUCUGGGCGUGAGCCUGCCUGGAGCCGUCGUCGGUGCAGAUCUUGGUGGUAGUAACAAAUACUCCAGCGAGGCCCUGGAGGACUGAUGUGGAGAAGGGUUUCUUGUGAACAGCUGUUGCACAAGAGUCAGUCGGUCCUAAGCCCUAGGAGAAAUCCGAAGCGAUGAGUUGCCGUUAAGACAUA
rnacentral:rRNA from 1 species